rnacentral:rRNA from 1 species
UCGGGUUGUAAAGCACUUUUGUCCGGAAAGAAAACCUCUUGGAUAAUACCUGAGGGGGAUGACGGUACCGGAAGAAUAAGCACCGGCUAACUACGUGCCAGCAGCGCGGUAAUCGUAGGGUGCGAGCGUUAAUCGGAAUUACUGGGCGUAAAGCGUGCGCAGGCGGUUUGUUAAGACAGAUGUGAAAUCCCCGGGCUUAACCUGGGAACUGCAUUUGUGACUGGCAAGCUAGAGUAUGGCAGAGGGGGGUAGAAUUCCACGUGUAGCAGUGAAAUGCGUAGAGAUGUGGAGGAAUACCGAUGGCGAAGGCAGCCCCCUGGGCCAAUACUGACGCUCAUGCACGAAAGCGUGGGGAGCAAACAGGAUUAGAUACCCUGGUAGUCCACGCCCUAAACGAUGUCAACUAGUUGUUGGGGAUUCAUUUCCUUAGUAACGUAGCUAACGCGUGAAGUUGACCGCCUGGGGAGUACGGUCGCAAGAUUAAAACUCAAAGGAAUUGACGGGGACCCGCACAAGCGGUGGAUGAUGUGGAUUAAUUCGAUGCAACGCGAAAAACCUUACCUACCCUUGACAUGGUCGGAACCCUGCUG